rnacentral:lncRNA from 1 species
GGAACUUGCGCUUGUGCUCUUGAAGGUGACGGGACGGGCGCUGGGCAUUCGUGACGUAAACCGCAUGUGGGGUAUGCAAUGGCGGGGGUUAGCAGCCGAUGAGAGGGUUGCAGCUGGCAGGCGCACUUGGUGGAGAAGAAGGGGAGGGUGGGACCUCCGGGGAGGCUCGGGUAAGGCACGGGGGCAAAGGACACGGCAGGCUUGCCAGCACUGUGAGUUGAGGUGGUGGGCCUGGAAUGCAGCAGGACCCGUCAAGGCCACCCAUAUCGCAGACAACAG